ACAACAGUCCCCUCAGCUUGAAAAACACAUUUAUAGACUGUCCCAAAGCUCCCUUUACCAAGCAAAUUGGCUUCGGAGAAUCCAUUGGUUCCGUUUGAUAAUGCAUGGUAAGAAACUCUUUCAUACUGUUCCUCAACCAUUCGUGGUUUGAAUGCACCCUUCUGCUUUCUUCUUUGCUUCCUGUAGAUCAAGAGUGCAAUGACAAUAGCUAAUAGUAAUAGUGCAAAGGUUGUUGCUAGUGCUAUUCUAAGAUACUUAGACUUCCCUCUUCUGUUCUUUUUCACAGAAUCUGUCUUGCAUGGAACUAAAUGAAGCUGGGGUAUUCCUCCACAAAGCUUGUUAUUUCCGGUGAUCGACAGGUUAGCAAAAUUUCCGAAAAUACCUUCUUUUGGUACUUCCCCUUGCAGAUUGUUGAAGGAUAAAUCCAACAUCCACAAUGAUGUUAAAUUCUGUAGAACUGCAGGGAUUGGUCCUGAUAAAUUGUUGUGCGCCAGAUACAAUUGUUCCAGGCCACUGAUACUUCCAAUGGCAUCUGAAAUAUUACCGGACAACUCAUUCACUGACAGGUUGAGUGUAG
rnacentral:lncRNA from 1 species